UACGUAGGCAGCAAGCGUUGUUCGGAAUUACUGGGCGUAAAGGGUGCGUAGGCGGUUCCGCAAGUUUGGUGUGAAAUCUCCCGGCUUAACUGGGAGGGUGCGCCGAAAACUGCGAAGCUAGAGUGCGGGAGAGGAGAGUGGAAUUCCUGGUGUAGCGGUGAAAUGCGUAGAUAUCAGGAGGAACACCUGUGGUGUAGACGGCUCUCUGGACCGCAACUGACGCUGAUGCACGAAAGCGUGGGUAGCAAACAGG
rnacentral:rRNA from 1 species